UACAGAGGUUGCAAGCGUUGUUCGGAAUUACUGGGCGUAAAGGGCGCGUAGGCGGCCUUCUAAGUCAGACGUGAAAUCCCCCGGCUUAACCUGGGAACUGCGUCUGAUACUGGAGGGCUUGAGUGCGGGAGAGGGAUGUGGAAUUCCAGGUGUAGCGGUGAAAUGCGUAGAUAUCUGGAGGAACACCGGUGGCGAAGGCGGCAUUCUGGACCGAAACUGACGCUGAGGCGCGAAAGCAAGGGGAGCAAACGGG
rnacentral:rRNA from 1 species